rnacentral:lncRNA from 1 species
UAAAUUAUGUCAAACUUGACUUGUUUGCCUUUUUGAAGGAACUUUAACACACACUUUUAUACAAAUGCUUUUCUUCCCCCUUUGGAAAAAUGAGAGCAAUAAUUUUGCUUGGGAAAUUUUCCUAUUCUUGGAAUCUUGUCUCACUUUGGACAAGCCUCUUGCCUCUACUGGGUCUCUUGUUCCUUGGCUAUAGAAUGUAGAGUUCGGACUUGAUGGACUUUAAGCUCCCUUUCAUCUUCAUGCUUUUAGAAAUGGGCGCCGGGAGAGGGAGGAGGACGUGAGCCACCCUGAUCCACACGUUCUCCACGCAGGCAGAGAAGACAAUGUAUCUUCACAGCUCUCCCACUGUGUGGCUACUUGGAGGAAAUAUGCUGCCAAAUGAAUGAAGGAAAGAAGGUGGAAUGGUAAUUCCUCAAAUGACAAAAUGAAUUUAUCUACAUUUCUAAUAAUGAAAUCAGCUUCAUCACUGGAAUGGGAUCCUGGUAGCAGACUUCUCAGUCAUCUUGCAGCAAUGUGGAAUUUGUUUAGCUAAAGUGACUUAUGAUUCAUUCAACAAAUAUUUACAAAGCCCUAAUCCACUUGCCUGGAAAAUGCCCUUCUCUGAAAGUCAACCUGGCCCCACUGGAUUCGAACAGUACCACGGGAUCUUGGAACUGAGCAUACUUUUUAUAGAAAACUCUGAAAGUAGGAUGACCAGAAGACAGCAGCAGGAAUUAAACUAAAGCCAAGAAACUGAGCACAGCUCCUUGGACAAAUCUUAAUCUUGGCUGAUGCCAUAUCUGGUGGGGGUGAGCUGAAGUGUACUUCACUGUGCAUAGAGAGAGAAACCUGCUUUUGAAACUCCUUCCAGAAGCAUACUAUCUUUUCAUUUUUCCACCACAAAGAGAGCUCCCAGAUGAUUAUGCACUCUUCUGCCCAGUGAACAAAAGGAAGCAUAAUCUGGACUAACUACAGGUUGAAUAUCCCAGGUUCUUCUCAGGUUAUGGUUGGCUGAGCUAUACUUAUUGAACACCUGCUGUAAAUAACCAUCAUGAAGAUGAAGCCUUGUAGGUUCCAAUUGUGGUUUACCCACAGAGUGUUCUGGGCAAAUCACUCUGUGAUUCUGUUUUCCGUGUCAUUAAAAGAGGAGAGUAUUACCACCCUCCUAAAAUGGGUAUUGUGAGGAUUAAAUGGAAACAAAAUAGGUUUUGUGGAAAUUGUAAAUGUUACCUUAACACUACACCAAUGUUAGUUAUUUUUUCCCAGUAUCUGAAAUUUGGGAGGAAAGAAUAAAAGACAGAAAAAUGAAAAAGAAGAGGAAGAGAAGGAAGAAGAGAGGAAGGACAUGUUUGCUUCUCCUGCCAUGGCUGGAAGUUUCCUGAGGCCUCCCCAGCCAUCCUGAACUGUGAGUCAAUUAAACCUCUUUCCUUUAUAAAUUACCUAGUCUUGGGUAUGUCUUUAUUAGCAGUGUGAGAACUAACUAAUACAGUUAAUUGGUACUGAGAGUGGAGUGCUGCUAUAAGGAUACCUGAAUGUGGAAUGCAACUUUGGAACUUAGUAACAGGCAGAGGUUGGAACAGUUUGGAGGGCUCAGAAGUAGAUGGGAAAAUGUGGGAAAAUUUGGAAUUCGUAAAGUCUUGAAGGGCUCAGAAGACAGGAAGAUGUGGGGUAGUUUGGAACUUCCUAGAGACUUGUUGAAUGGCUUUGACCAAAAUGCUGAUAGUGAUAUGGGAAAUGAAGUCCAGACUAAGGUGGUCUCAGAUGGAGAUGGGAAACUUGUUGGCAACUGGAAUAAAGGUCACUCUUGCCAUGCAAAGAGACUGAUGGCAUUUUGCCCCAUCCCAGAAAUCUGUGGAACUCUGAACUUGAGAGAGGUGAUUUAGGGUAUCUGGCAAAAGACAUUUGUAAGUGGCAAAGCAUUCAAGAGGAAGAAUAGCAUAAACGUUUGGAAAUUUGCAGCCUGACUAUUGUGAUAGAAAAGAAAACCCCAUUUUCUGGGGAGAAAUUCAAGCAAGCUGCAAAUAUUUGCAAAGGUAGCAAGAAGCCUAAUGUUAAUCACCAAGACAAUAGGGAAAAUGUCUCCAGGGCAUGUCAGACACCUUCACAGCAGCCUCUCCCAUCACAGGCCUGGAGGCCUAGGAAGGAAAAAUGGUUUCCUAGGCCAGGUCCAGGGCCUCCCUGCUGUGUGCAGCUUUGGGACUUGGUGCCUUGCAUCUCAGCUACUGUAGCUGUGGCUAAAAGGGGCCAAUGUACAUCUCAGGCAAGAGGGUGCAAGCUCCAGGCCUUGGCAGCUUCCACGUGGUGUUGAGCCUGUGGGCACACGUAAGUCAAGAAUUGAGAUUUGGGAACCUCUGCCUAGAUUUCAGAGGAUGUAUGGAAAUGCCUGGAUGUCCAGGCAGAAGUUUGCUGCAGAAGAACCUCUGCUAGGGCAGUGCUGAGGUGAAAUGCAAGGUUGGAGCCCCCACACAGAGUCUCCACUGGGGCACUGCCUAGUGGAGCUGUGAGAAGAGGGCCACUGUCCUCCAGACCCCAGAAUGGUAGAUCCACUGACAGCUUGCACCAUGCACCUGGAAAAGCUGCAGACACUCUAUGCUAGCUGGGAUGGGACUGUACUCUGCAAAGCCACAGGGGUGGAGCUGCCCAGGGCUGUGGGAGCCCACCUGUUGCAUCACUGUGACCUGUAUGUGAGAUAUGGAGUCAAAGGAGACCAUUUUGGAAUUUUAAGUUUUAAUGACUGCCCUAUUCGAUUUUGGACUGGCAUGGGGCCUAUAGCCCCUUUGUUUUGUCCAAUUUCUCCCAUUUGGAAUGGGCAUAUUUACCCAAUGUCUGUACCCCCAUUGUAUCUAGGAAGUAACUAACUUGCUUUUGAUUUUACAGGCUCAUAGGCAGAAGGGACUUGCCUUGUCUCAGAUGAGACUUUGGACUUGGACUUUUGAGACCAUACUGGAAUGAUUUAAGACUUUGGGGGACUAUUGGAAGGACAUGAUUAUUUUUUGAAUUGUGAGGACAUGAGAUUUGGGAGGGGCCAGGGGCAGAAUGAUAUGGUUUUGCCAUGUCCCCCCGCCCAAAUCUCAUCUUGAAUUAUAGUUCCCAUAAUCCCCACAUGUCAUAGGAAGUAUCUGGUAGGAGGUAAUUGAAUCAUGGGGGUGGUUCCCCCAUGCUAUUCUUGUGAUAGUGAGUUCUCAGGAGAUCUGAUGGUUUUAUAAGGGGCUUCCCCUGCACUUGGUUUUUCAUUCUUCUGUCGCCUGCUGCCAUGUGAAGAAAGAAGUGUUUGCUUCCCCUUCCAUCAUGGUUGGACGUUUCCUGAGGCCUCUCCAGUCAUGCUGAGCUGUGAGUCAAUUAAACCUCUUGCUUUUAUAAAUUACCCAGUCUCAGAUAUGUCUUUAUUAGCAGCAUGAGAAUAGAUUAAUAUACCAGUCAAGUGUUUGCCUCAAAAAAACCCUAAAAAUUAUGGUACUUCCUGGAAGGACAUUUAUUUUGUUGUUAUGAAGAAAAAAAAAAGAGGCAAGAUAGUUCAGAAAAUAAGAGUGGUAAUCUGGUAUGUUUUACAAAAGGAUCUAAUAUACCCAAAUUUUCUAUCAUAUGGAAUAGCAAUUUAACCUCAUAAAAACUCAUCUCCUUUUUAUUUAAUUCGAAUAGCUAAAAUUUAAAAAUGCCAGUUUGUUUAAAAACAUUUCACAUUUAACUCUUACAACUUUUGAGACAGACAUGUUACUUUUACACUUUAAUACUUUGGUUGUAAAAAUAAUUCAUGUUUACUUUAGAAUAUGCAGAAAAUAUAGAUGGAGGAAAGAAUAUUUUAAAAAUUUAUCCAAAAUCCUUUACCCAGGAAUAAUCACUGUUAAUACCAAAAAAUAUUUUCCACCUUUUUUUUCUAUUUAAAAAUCAAAAUUAUAUUCACGUGGCAUAAAAAGUUUUCAUCCUCCCCAAAUUUCCUUUCUCAGAAAUAACUAAUUCCACCUCUUUUUAAAGCUUUUUGUUUUUGUAUUUACCUCAUCUUUAAAUAACAUAUUUGUGUUUCUUCUUGUUUUAUAAAUUUUAGGCAUUGUCUGUGGACUUCCCAUUAUGGAAAAUGGCAGAGAAGUUAGCUCUGCCCCUCUACCAUUGUAUAUGUAUAUAUCUCAUCUCCCAUCUUCUCCAUAGAGAUUUUGGUUGAUUAACAUGCUGUGCUUACAUUAUUAUAUUGCAUAUGCUAUUUGGAGAUGAGAUUCAAAGCUGAGAUAUAUGGCUUACUAUGAUUAGUCUUUUUUCCUUCUUUCUUUCUUUCUUUCUUUCUUUCUUUCUUUCUUUCUUCUUUCUUUCUUUCUUUCUUUCUUUUUUUUUGAGACAGAGUUUCGCUCUUGUUGCCCAGGCUGGAUUGCAAUGGCGAUCUUGGCUCACUUUAACCUCCGCCUCCCAGGUUCAAGCGAUUCUCCUGCCUCAGCCUGCCAAGUAGCUGGGAUUACAGAGGUACCUGGUGCCAGUUCCUGAGACUUGAGGAUUCUGGUUGGUUCUCAGCACAGGAGUCAGCCUGCUCUGAUUUGCUAGUAGAGACGAGGUUUUGCCAUGUUUGGCCAGGCUGGUCUCAAACUCCUGACCUCAAGUGAUCUGCCUGCCUUUGCCUCCCAAAGUGCUGGGAUUACAGGUAUGAGCUACCGCACCCUGCCCAUUUCAUUCCUUUUUAUUGUCAAAUAAUUAUUACAUUGUAUGUUUAUACCAAAUUCUGUUUAUCCAUUCAUCAGUUGAUGGACAUUUGAAUUGUUUUCACAUUUUUGUUAUUACGAAUAAAUGCUAGUAUAAAUAUUUAUGUACAUAUUUCUGUGUGGACACAUUUUCAUUUUCAUAGGAGUAGAAUUGCUGGGUCAUAUGGUAACUCUAUGCUUAACAUUUUUCGGAAUCGUCAGACUAUUUUCCAAAGUAGUUCCAUCAUUAUACAUUCUCACCAGUUCACAGUCAUUUUAAUGUCUAUGCAUACAUAUUUAUUUGUGCAAAAUAUUGCAUUGUUUAGAUAUACCAUGAUUCAGUUAACUAUUUUCUGUUGUCAGAUUUUUAAGUAUUUAUAUUUGUGUCUAACAAGUUUAAUUUCUUUGAAAGUCCAUGAUGUGGUGCUAUUGAGUUGCAGAGUAUGAAUGUUUUGGAAUCUCUCUUCUACCUCCCUUCAUUGCCCAACCCCUCUGCCUGACUACCCAACCAUACACAAUCUUUUCACAAGUGCAUAUUCUUGGUAGCAGAUAGUCCACUUUCCUUAGCAUUGACUGACUUUAUUAAAAGUCUUUGCUCAUUUAGUAGGUUUUUAAAGAGGUAUAGCAGUGUUUUAAAAUCCAGUCAUUUUAUUCCUAAAUAGGCUGGAUAUAUUUUUUCAUAUUUAUCUUGGAGGUAAUUUACUUUUGUGUGAAUUUUCUGAAAACAAAAAAACUAUCACCUUCAUUUUAUAAAUGAGGGUCAUAAACUUCAGAAAGGAAAAAGGGAAAGGAAAUGACAGUUGUUGAACUUCCAUCAUGUUCUGGAACCUUGCUAGGUGCUUUGCAUGUACCUUUUCACUUAAUUUAUCUCUCAAAGCAACCAGUAAGUAAGAUUAAACAAACACACAUUGCCAUAAAGUGGCAGAGCCUUUUUUAAACUUUAUUUUUAUGCAUCAAACAGCAGGGGAGAGGUUUACAACUUAGCCUUUCUUUUUUUUUUUUCUUUUUCUUUAAAUUUUUUAUUUUUUUAUUAUUAUUAUACUUUAAGUUGUAGGGUACAUGUGCGCAAUGUGCAGGUUAGUUACAUAUGUAUACAUGUGCCAUGCUGGUGUGCUGCACCCAUUAACUCGUCAUUUAGCAUUAGGUAUAUCUCCUAAUGCUAUCCCUCCCCCCUCCCCCCACCCCACAACAGUCCCCAGAGUGUGAUGUUCCCCUUCCUUUGUCCAUGUGUUCUCAUUAUUCAAUUCCCAUCUAUGAGUGAGAACAUGUGGUAUUUGGUUUUUUGUCCUUGUGAUAGUUUACUGAGAAUGAUGAUUUCCAAUUUCAUCCAUGUCCCUACAAAGAACAUGAACUCAUCAUUUUUUAUGGCUGCAUAGUAUUCCAUGGUGUAUAUGUGCCACAUUUUCUUAAUCCAGUCUAUCAUUGUUGGACAUUUGGGUUGGUUCCAAGUCUUUGCUAUUGUGAAUAGUGCCGCAAUAAACAUACGUGUGCAUGUGUCUUUAUAGCAGCAUGAUUUAUAGUCCUUUAGGUAUAUUCCCAGUAAUGGGAUGGCUGGGUCAAAUGGUAUUUCUAGUUCUAGAUCCCUGAGGAAUCGCCACACUGACUCCCACAAUGGUUGAACUAGUUUACAGUCCCACCAACAGUGUAAAAGUGUUCCUAUUUCUCCACAUCCUCUCCAGCACCUGUUGUUUCCUGACUUUUUAAUGAUUGCCAUUCUAACUGGUGUGAGGUGGUAUCUCAUUGUGGUUUUGAUUUGCAUUUCUCUGAUGGCCAGUGAUGAUGAGCAUUUUUUCAUGUGUCUUUUGGCUGCAUAAAUGUCUUCUUUUAAGAAGUGUCUGUUCAUAUCCUUUGCCCACUUUUUGAUGGGAUUGUUUGUUUUUUUCUUGUAAAUUUGUUUGAGUUCAUUGUAGAUUCUGGAUAUUAGCCCUUUGUCAGAUGAGUAGGUUGUGAAAAUUUUCUCCCAUUUUAUAGGUUGCCUGUUCACUCUGAUGGUAGUUUCUUUUGCUGUGCAGAAGCUCUUUAGUUUAAUUAGAUCCCAUUUGUCAAUUUUGGCUUUUGUUGCCAUUGCUUUUGGUGUUUUAGACAUGAAGUCCUUGCCCAUGCCUAUGUCCUGAAUGGUAAUGCCUAGGUUUUCUUCUAGGGUUUUUAUGGUUUUAGGUCUAACAUUCAAGUCUUUAAUCCAUCUUGAAUUAAUUUUUGUAUAAGAUAUAAGGAAGGGAUCCAGUUUCAGCUUUCUACAUAUGGCUAGCCAGAUUUCCCAGCACCAUUUAUUAAAUAGGGAAUCCUUUCCCCAUUGCUUGUUUUUCUCAGGUUUGUCAAAGAUCGGAUGGUUGUAGAUAUGCGGCGUUAUUUCUGAGGGCUCUGUUCUGUUCCAUUGAUCUAUAUCUCUGUUUUGGUACCAGUACCAUGCUGUUUUGGUUACUGUAGCCUUGUAGUAUAGUUUGAAGUCAGGUAGCAUGAUGCCUCCAGCUUUGUUCUUUUGGCUUAGGAUUGACUUGGUGAUGCGGGCUCUUUUUUGGUUCCAUAUGAACUUUAAAGUAGUUUUUUCCAAUUCUGUGAAGAAAGUCAUUGGUAGCUUGAUGGGGAUGGCAUUGAAUCUGUAAAUUACCUUGGGCAGUAUGGCCAUUUUCAUGAUAUUGAUUCUUCCUACCCAUGAGCAUGGAAUGUUCUUCCAUUUGUUUGUAUCCUCUUUUAUUUCCUUGAGCAGUGGUUUGUAGUACUCCUUGAAGAGGUCCUUCACGUCCCUUGUAAGUUGGAUUCCUAGGUAUUUUAUUCUCUUUGAAGCAAUUGUGAAUGGGAGUUCACUCAUAAUUUGGCUCUCUGUUUGUCUGUUAUUAGUGUAUAAGAAUGCUUGUGAUUUUUGUACAUUGAUUUUGUAUCCUGAGACUUUGCUGAAGUUGCUUAUCAGCUUAAGGAGAUUUUGGGCUGAGACAAUGGGGUUUUCUAGAUAUACACUCAUGUCAUCUGCAAACAGGGACAAUUUGACCUCCUCUUUUCCUAAUUGAAUACCCUUUAUUUCCUUCUCCUGCCUAAUUGCCCUGGCCAGAACUUCCAACACUAUGUUGAAUAGGAGUAGUGAGAGAGGGCAUCCCUGUCUUGUGCCAGUUUUCAAAGGGAAUGCUUCCAGUUUUUGCCCAUUCAGUAUGAUAUUGGCUUUGGGUCUGUCAUAGAUAGCUCUUAUUAUUUUGAGAUACGUCCCAUCAAUACCUAAUUUAUUGAGAGUUUUUAGCAUGAAGGUUGUUGAAUUUUGUCAAAGGCCUUUUCUGCAUCUAUUGAGAUAAUCAUGUGGUUUUUGUCUUUGGUUCUGUUUAUAUGCUGGAUUACAUUUAUUGAUUUGCAUAUAUUGAACCAGCCUUGCAUCCCAGCGAUGAAGCCCACUUGAUCAUGGUGGAUAAGCUUUUUGAUGUGCUGCUGGAUUCGGUUUGCCAGUAUUUUAUUGAGGAUUUUUACAUCAAUGUUCAUCAAGGAUAUUGGUCUAAAAUUCUCUUUUUUGGUUGUGUCUCUGCCUGGCUUUGGUAUCAGGGUGAUGCUGGCCUCAUAAAAUGAGUUAGGGAGGAUUCCCUCUUUUUCUAUUGAUUGGAAUAGUUUCAGAAGGAAUGGUACCAGUUCCUCCUUGUACCUCUGGUAGAAUUCGGCUGUGAAUCCAUCUGGUCCUGGACUCUUUUUGGUUGGUUACCUAUUGAUUAUUGCCACAAUUUCAGAUCCUGUUAUUGGUCUAUUCAGAGAUUCAACUUCUUCCUGGUUUAGUCUUGGGAGGGUGUAUUGUCGAGGAACUUAUCCAUUUCUUCUAGAUUUUCUAGUUUAUUUGUGUAGAGGUGUUUGUAGUAUUCUUUGAUGGUAGUUUGUAUUUCUGUGGGAUAGGUGGCGAUAUCCCCUUUAUCAUUUUUUAUUGUGUCUAUUUGAUUCUUCUUUUUUUCUUUAUUAGUCUUGCUAGCGGUCUAUCAAUUUUGUUGAUCCUUUCAAAAAACCAGCUCCUGGAUUCAUUAAUUUUUGAAGGGUUUUUUUUGUCUCUAUUUCCUUCAGUUCUGCUCUGAUUUUAGUUAUUUCUUGCCUUCUGCUAGCUUUUGAAUGUGUUUGCUCUUGCUUUUCUAGUUCUUUUAAUUGUGAUGUUAGGGUGUCACUUUUGGAUCUUUCCUGCUUUCUCUUGUGGGCAUUUAGUGCUGUAAAUUUCCCUCUACACACUGCUUUGAAUGUGUCCCAGAGAUUCUGGUAUGUUGUGUCUUUGUUCUCGUUGGUUUCAAAGAACAUCUUUAUUUCUGCCUUCAUUUCGUUAUGUACCCAGUAGUCAUUCAGGAGCAGGUUGUUCAGUUUCCAUGUAGUUGAGUGGUUUUGAGUGAGUUUCUUAAUCCUGAGUUCUAGUUUGAUUGCACUGUGGUCUGAGAGACAGUUUGUUAUAAUUUCUGAUCAUUUACAUUUGCUGAGGAGAGCUUUACUUCCAACUAUGUGGUCAAUUUUGGAAUAGGUGUGGUGUGGUGCUGAAAAAAAUGUAUAUUGUGUUGAUUUGGGGUGGAGAGUUCUGUAGAUGUCUAUUAGGCCUGCUUGGUGCAGAGCUGAGUUCAAUUCCUCGGUAACCUUGUUAACUUUCUGUCUCGUUGAUCUGUCUAAUGUUGACAGUGGGGUGUUAAAGUCUCCUAUUAUUAUUAUGUGUGAGUCUAAGUCUCUUUGUAGGUCACUCAGGACUUGCUUUAUGAAUCUGGGUGCUCCUGUAUUGGGUGCAUAUAUAUUUAGGAUAGUUAGCUCUUCUUGUUGAAUUGAUCCCUUUACCAUUAUGUAAUGGCCUUCUUUGUCUCUUUUGAUCUUUGUUGUUUUAAAGUCUGUUUUAUCAGAGACUAGGAUUGCAACCCCUGCCUUUUUUUGAUUUCCAUUUGCUUGGUAGAGCUUCCUCCAUGCUUUUAUUUUGAGCCUAUGUGUGUCUCUGCACGUGAGAUGUGUUUCCUGAAUACAGCACACUGAUGGGUCUUGACUCUUUAUACAAUUUACCAGUCUGUGUCUUUUAAUUGGAGCAUUUAGUCCAUUUACAUUUAAAGUUAAUAUUGUUAUGUGUGAAUUUGACCCUGUCAUUAUGAUGUUAGCUGGUUAUUUUGCUUGUUAGUUGAUGCAGUUUCUUCCUAGUCUCGAUGGUCUUUACAUUUUGGCAUGAUUUUGCAGUGGCUGGUACUGGUUGUUCCUUUCCAUGUUUAGUGCUUCCUUCAGGAGCUCUUUUAGGGCAGGCCUGGUGGUGACAAAAAUCUCUCAGCAUUUGCUUCUCUGUAAAGUAUUUUAUUUCUCCUUCACUUAUGAAGCUUAGUUUGGCUGGAUAUGAAAUUCUGGGUUGAAAAUUCUUUUCUUUAAGAAUGUUGAAUAUUGGCCCCCACUCUCUUCUGGCUUGUAGAGUUUCUGCCGAGAGAUCCGCUGUUAGUCUGAUGGGCUUCCCUUUGUGGGUAACCCGACCUUUCUCUCUGGCUGCCCUUAACAUUUUUUCCUUCAUUUCGACUUUGGUGAACCUGACAAUUAUGUGUCUUGGAGUUGCUCUUCUCGAGGAGUAUCUUUGUGGCGUUCUCUGUAUUUCCUGAAUCUGAAUGUUGACCUGCCUUGCUAGAUUGGGGAAGUUCUCCUGGAUAAUAUCCUGCAGAGUGUUUUCCAACUGGGUUCCAUUCUCCCUGUCACUUUCAGGUACACCAAUCAGAUGCAGAUUUGGUCUUUUCACAUAGUCCCAUAUUUCUUGGAGGCUUUGUUCGUUUCUUUUUAUUCUUUUUUCUCUAAGCUUCCCUUCUCUUUUCAUUUCAUUCAUUUAAUCUUCCAUCACUGAUACCCUUUCUUCCAGUUGAUCCCAUUGGCUCCUGAGGCUUCUGCAUUCUUCAUGUAGUUCUCGAGCCUUGGCUUUCAGCUCCAUCAGCUCCUUUAAGCACUUCUCUGUAUUGGUUAUUCUAGUUAUACCUUCGUCUAAAUUUUUUUCAAAGUUUUCAACUUCUUUGCCUUUGGUUUGAAUUUCCUCCUGUAGCUCGGAGUAGUUUGAUCGUCUGAAGCCUUCUUGUCUCAAUUCGUCAAAGUCAUUCUCUGUCCAGCUUUGUUCCGUUGCUGGUGAGGAGCUGCAUUCCUUUGGAGGAGGAGAGGCGCUCUGCUUUUUAGAGUUUACAGUUUUUCUGCUCCGUUUUUUCCCCAUCUUUGUGGUUUUAUCUACUUUUGGUCUUUGAUGAUGGUGAUGUACAGAUGGGUUUUUGGUGUGGAUGUCCUUUCUGUUUGUUGGUUUUCCUUCUAACAGACAGGACCCUCAGCUGCAGGUCUGUUGGAGUUUGCUAGAGGUCCACUCCAGACCCUGUUUGCCUGGGUAUCAGCAGCAGUGUCUGCAGAACCGUGGAUUUUCGUGAACUGCGAAUGCUGCCGUCUGAUCCUUCCUCUGGAAGUUUUGUCUCAGAGGAAUACCUGGCCGUGUGAGGUGUCAGUCUGCCCCUACUGGGGGGUGCCUCCCAUUUAGGCUGCUCAGGGGUCACAGGUCAGGGACCCACUUGAGGAGGCAGUCUGCCCGUUCUCAGAUCUCCAGCUGCAUGCUGGGAGAACCACUGCUCUCUUCAAAGCUGUCAGACAGGGACAUUUAAGUCUGCAGAGGUUACUGCUGUCUUUUUGUUUGUCUGUGCCCUGCCCCCAGAGGUGGAGCCUACAGAGGCAGGCAGGCCUCCUUGAGCUGUGGUGGGCUCCACCCAGUUCGAGCUUCCUGGCUGCUUUGUUUACCUAAGUGAGCCUGGACAAUGGUGGGCGCCCCUCCCCCAGCCUCGCUGCCACCUUGCAGUUUGAUCUCAAACUGCUGUGCUAGCAAUCAGCGAGACCCCGUGGGCGUAGGACCCCCUGAGCCAUGUGUGGGAUAUAAUCUCCUGGUGCGCCAUUUCCUAAGCCCGUCGGAAAAGCGCAGUAUUCGGGUGGGAGUGACCUGAUUUUCCAGGUGCCGUCUGUCCCCCCUUUCCUUGACCAGGAAAGGGAACUCCCUGACCCCUUGCACUUCCCGAGUGAGGCAAUGCCUUGCCCUGCUUCAGCUUGCGCACGGUGAGCUGCACCCACUGUCCUGUGCCCAUUGUCUGGCACUCCCUAGUGAGAUGAACCCGAUACCUCAGAUGGAAAUGCAGAAAUCACCCAUCUUCUGCGUCGCUCACGCUGGGAGCUGUAGACCGGAGCUGUUCCUAUUUGGCCAUCCUGGCUCCUCCCUUGAUCAAGACUGGGUUUAAUUCCUAACUUUCUUGCUUACUUAGCCUUUCUUCCUCUGAAAAUAAUGGAGGCAGAUGAAAUUGCAGAAGUCAUAAAAGUAAGGCUCCUCUUCCAAAAAUAAUGAUUACAUAUAUCCUUUUCACUAAAAAGCUAUUUAGAGAGUCAAUAGGGAAAUAUUUUCUAUAUUGACUUGGUUGUUAUAAGCCUAUCAACAAUAUGUAGAUUGUCAGCACUGUCUUUGUGGAUUGAUCUCACCAAGUGGAAACUAGGAAAAGGAGCUAGCUUUUGAGGGUGUGUGGAGAUGGAAAUCAGAAUCGGCUCAUUUCAUUCAUUUCGUCUUCCAUCACUGAUACCCUUUCUUCCAGUUGAUCGCAUCGGCUCCUGAGGCUUCUGCAUUCUUCACGUAGUUCUCAAGCCUUGGUUUUCAGCUCCAUCAGCCCUUUUAAGGACUUCUCUGCAUUCGUUAUUCUAGGUAUCCAUUCGUCUAAUCAACUCUGUGGAUUUAUUAUAGUACUCAACUCCCUUGAGGCUUUUAGAGGAAAAGCAAACAUGACUUUUCACUCAGGGUUCAUGAAGAUUUCAUUAAGAACAUAGGAGUUCUUCAAGCUUGAAAAUAGCAAAGAGAUUCUUUGAACAUGAUUAAAUCAAUUCAAUUCAAUGCUCAUGUGACAGCUGCUGCAUCAACACAGUUGAUCAUCACCACAGCUCCUGAUUUUAUUCCUACAUUUCUGACCAUUCCUUUUCAGUCUCUUUUAUUAUCUCCAUAGUGAUGAUGUCAAGAUUUGUAGUACCAGUUCAGACUUUGCUUCUGAAUUUCAAGCCUAGAUUUCCAAUACUCCUCCCUCUUUUCACUUGGAUGUUUAAUAGGCAUCUCGAAGGUAUUAAGUCCAGAAAUUAGCUCCUGAAAUUCUACCCACCCAAAUUCUGCUCUUUCUCAGUAGUUUAAUUCUCCCAGUUAUUUGGGUUCUCAAAUUAUUUUAUCAUCCUUAUUUCUUCUCUUUCUCUCACACACAUCCAAUCUACCCACAAAAUCUGUUGGUUCUACCCUCAAAACAUAUUUAGAAUAUAACCACUUUUACUCUACCCUUAGUCUAAACUAUCAUUAUUUCUUUUUGUUUGGAUUAUUGCAGUGAUGUCCUAACCAAUCUCCCUGAAAAAUUAUCUGUGAAAUUUAUUUCUAUACAUCCAACAAGCACAAUGAACUCUAGGUAGAAUAAAUUCAGUGAGGUCCACAUCAAGAACAUUGUAAUCAAACUGUUGAAUGUCAAAGACAGAGAAUCUUGAAAGCAACAAGAAAGAAUCAACUAUCAUGUACAAGGGAACCUUAGUAAGAUGAACAGUUGGCUAUUUAUCAGGAACUAUGGAAGCCAGAAAACAGUGGGCAUAUUUAAAGUGCUGAAAGAAAAGAACCUAUCAACCAAGAAUUCUGUAUCUGGCAAAAUUGCCCUUCAAAAGUGAGGAAGAAAUUGAGAUAUUCCCAAUAAACAAAAGCUGAGGGGUUCACUACAAGUAGACCUGCCCUGCAAGAAAUGCUACAAGAUGUCCUCAAGUUGAAAUGAAAGGACACUAAAUGGUAACUUGAAGCUGUAUGAAGAAAUAAAGGUCUACAGUAAAGUGCGUCUAGAGUGUUGACAGUUGUUUCCAUGGACUUCAAAUCAACCCAACCCUGUGAGCACAGACUUUCAGCACCAGAGUCAGAUUUCCCAAAAAUGCUAUUCUUGAAGCGUAGAGCCAGACUCACAGAUCCUGUAAAGAAAACAGAUCUUUCAGCAAGUGAAACACCCAAUCUUCCAUUGCAUGGGACUCACAGAGGUUCUGAGGGAGAGAUGUGAAUAGAAGGAGUGAUCAUCACUGUGGACUCUAUUUCUUCCAUCUGUGCGUGCAAGAUUUAUAUCUGUAUGUGUUUGUUUUAAAGUUUUAUUGAGGUAUAAUUGAUACACAAUAAUCUGUACCUAUUUAAUGUAUACAAUUUGAUGAGUUUGGACAUACUUAAAUACCUGUGAAACCAUCACCACAAUCAAGGUAAUAGACAUAGCCAUCACCUCCAAAAGUUUCUUUGUGUCCCUUUGUGGUUUGUUUCUGAGAUAAGAACACUUAACAUGUGGACUCUUGACACUCUCCUUGGAUCUCUUAAUUUGAUUGCUGUUGCUGUCACCACAUUGACUUCCUAGCCCUGCUGAUCCUCCUUUAUCACUAGCUCUAGAAAAAAAAACAAACCAAA